ensembl:snRNA U1 U1 spliceosomal RNA
AGGCUUACCUGGCAGGGGAGAUACCAUGAUCAUGAAGGUGGUUUUCCCAGGGCGAGGCUCAUCCAUUGCACUCUGAAUGUGCUAACCUCUGCGAUUUCCCCAAAUGUGGGAAACUCAACUGCAUAAUUUGUGGUAGUGGGGUACUGCGUUCGCACUUUCCCAUG